rnacentral:lncRNA from 1 species
GCUUACGUUACUGCAUUAUCACGCUGAGAUAACAAACAUUUUUCUCUCCUCUUGAACUCUCUCUAGGCGGCGAUAACAGAAAUUAGGUUUUGCUCCAGUCCGGAUGGCGCAAGGUGGCGCGUACCGGCGACCGGAGGCUCUCCCUUCUCUCUCAACCGCUCAUCUUCUCUUUGCUACAGAGUGGUCCCUCUCACUCUCUCUGCCUUGUCCAUCGCUCUGCUUCUGGAGGCUCCCGACACCGCCUUUACUGCAGGAAAGCUCCGGUCUCAGUGGGAUUCUGCUAGGUGUUGGAGCAUCGACGCGAGAUGGGUGUGGGUUUCUAUCGUUGUAGUCGGCUUUUGGGUUUGGGUGUUGACUAGAUCUGGAUUUUUCCCUUUUUAGAUCUGGUUUCUCCUUGUGGUUUGUAGGCUUGUGAGCUAUUAUUUCCAUGUUCUGGUAUCGUGUGCUUGUCUGAAGCUUCUCUUCGUUAGCGAGUGGAGUCGAGCUCUUCUUGUUUUUCCUCAGCUCGGCGUCUUGUUGUGGAGGCGAGGCUAUCUUCGGCUCAAGAUCGGUGACAGGUCUCCCUCUGUGUCAUCCUGUUGGUGCGUGCACGUAUGAGUUGUUGCUGUGUGGCUGCUAUCUACUCCGUGAGUUAGUGUGUGCGGUUAAAGUUUGGAGGUUAAGCUCUGUCGUCCACGGCUGUAGCUUGUUCUUCUCUGAAAACUGCUCAAUCUUUGUCUGUCCCUCUCACUUCGCUGUUCCCCGGUGCUCUGCUUCUCCUCGAUUCAGAGCCUCUUCACUCCGCUUCUUGGGUUCUCUCGACUCUUUAUCGACGGUAUCUUCCUCGAGGCGCAAAAGAGUAAAGUCGAGGUUCUCUGCACGGUGCAAGGCGCUUGUUUGAAGUUCUGAUGCUCUUUCGUUCCUUCUCUCAAUGUAGCUUGUGUGGAAAAUCAUCAUCCCAGUGCCUCUUUGGCCUCUUGGUCGAUGAGGUAGAUUGCUCUCCCCUCUUUUGCAGGAUAUGAAGAACGAGUCUCAGUGUUGCCUUAUCACCUGCUUAUGUUCUGGCAGUGCUCACGGCCUGUGGAGCUCUGUCCUCCCCUUUGUGAGAUCCUGCUGAUGGUUCUCGUUGGUGGGUACGUGUGAGGAGUUUUCUUCCCUCGGUCUAGUCAACUGAGUGGAGUAUACUUCUGUGGCAAUGUGUGUGGAGAGUUGAGGGUGCAUCCGCUUCUCGUAUGGUCUUUGUCUUGCUUUGGUUGGUGUGGAGCGGUGGCAUCAUGGUCGUUUCUCGUGCCCAAUAUAUGCAUUCGUGUAGUCUAGCCUCCGUGAUGGUGUUUUUGCGGCAGUGGCUUCCCCGGUCUGGAGGUUUGUGUGGGUUAGUUGCUCAUCUUUUAUAGAGGUGAACAUCGGAAAUUGGCCAAAUCUAUCGGGUUCGUGCUCUCGGGCUUAAAGCAACUUUUUUUCAUCCAACAACUGUAAUUGGUGUCUCUUUCUUCCUCUCCCUACAGUCGACGCAAUGCUCUGUGGUGAUGUCUUGCAUGGCUAGGCCUUCUUGCGUUCUUCCUUUUUGUUAUUCGUUGUUGUUGUUUUGUUCUUAGUUUCUUUCGGUGUGUCUUUUCUUAGUUCUUAUGUUGUUCUGUCAAAAUUCAAAAAUGGUAAAUAAAUUUAACAUUUUUACCAAAAAAUAAAUCUUAUAUUUUAUUUUUAAUAUAUUUUUUGAAAUCAUCCUACUAUAUAAAAGAUGCUAAUUUGAGAGCUUCUAAGGGAUGCCACAUGGGCAAAAUAAUCCCCACUUAUCAAAUUGCCAUGUCACUAGCAGACUGGGCUUCGAAU